AAGGAGCUCAGGCCCCGGCAGGCGCCCCCCGCCACCACCCCGCCGCCCCCUGCCAGCCGUCGACAAGCAGCCGGCUCCCCCCGGCCCGGGCCGGGCGGGGAGGGGCGCCCACACAAAAGGGGCAGCGACUGGGGAAGGGGCUACGGGCGGCGCCGGCUAGCCGAGGCCUGGCCCGCCUUGCCCGCGCCGCCCGCCCGCCCACCGGCGACCACCCGCCUCCCCGCGCGCUCCUCCCGGUCCCCGGGUCCCCGCGCGCCCCGCGCGCCCGCGGCCCGGGAGACGGCGGCGGCGGCCCGGGAAGGACACGGAGCCGGACCCGCCGCGCGAGGCUGGGGCGGCGCGGGCUCCCGGCGGCCGCCCCGGGAAUCAAACUCGCGCCCGCCCGACCCUCGCGGCGGCGCCUCGGCGAGCGGGCCUGGAAGGUGGGGCCGAGGCGCGCGCGGGCCGGGCGGCGCCGGCGGGGGUGAAGGGGGUCUUACCGAGCAGCCACGCGCGUCCGCUCCCCGCGGGCCGGAGGGGCCGGAGGGCCGGGGCUGGGGCGGGCGCGGCCCCGCGGCGGCGGCGGCGGGCCCCGGCGGCGGCGCGGCCGGGGCGCGGGAGGCGGGGAAAGCGAGGCGCGGCCGGCUUCCUAGCGGCGGGCGGCGCGAAAUGCAGCUGUCCCUGCGCGGCCGCCGCGAGGCCACAAGUGGGGCCGCGCGGGGAGGAGCGGGCCUGCGGGCGGGGCGCGGGCCGGGCCGCGGUCCCCAGACCCUCUCCGCAGCCGGCCCCUCGGAGAGGGGAGGGAAGCGGGGUCGGGGGCCGCCAGCGACGCCAAUCGCAGGGGCUGGGCGUGGGGGGUUGGAGGGUGAGGGCCGGGCAAAGACGAGGCGGAUCCCCGGGGGACCGACCCCCGCGGCAGCCACGGGGACUCCCGGCUGGAGGGCCGGAGGACCCGAUCGGGGAGCGUCGGUACCCCGGGCCGCGCGGGGCGUCUUGCGCCUCCCUGCUCCAGGAGCGGCACCAGGGAGGCGCACCCAGGAGAAGGUGGGGCGGGAGACCCGAGACCUCAGCUGGGGGUGGGGGGACCUAAAAGCAGGGCUGCCCAGAGGGUGUGGCCGCGCCUCUGGGGCCUGGGACAGCUGA
rnacentral:lncRNA from 1 species